AGUUAUGCUCUCUUGAUAUCAAACCAAAGUACACAUGUGAAUGGUUUUCACCUAGAACCCAUUUCUUCACCUAGAACCCAUUUCCAUUGAUAUCAAGUAAGUCAAGUUGAAAGAAACGUAGUCUAGAGUAAAAUAGUUAGGCAAGUUGAAAAUAGAAUUUAUUAAAUUCUUAAGUUUUGUUGUGGCCAAUUUCUUGAUUCUCAUAAUCUCCUUUUGUGGAUUAAUGGUUUUGGUUUAGAUAGAAGAGCUCAGAAGGUUUAUUAACUUUUUCCUAAUAAUAUACAUUGGUUUUUCAGAAAUAACAAUCGUGCAAUUAUAUUUUUAUGAUGGUACUCCAUUUUGUAAUUACGAUAUCAGGUGUGAAAUUGAUAACCUUUAAGGGAGCAAGCUUCUUUUGCAAGCACUUUUUGAUUUUGAUGUUUUCCCUGGAUGCAGGUUGUACUCACCAUAGUCUAUCAGCAACUCCCUUUAUCCCCUCUCUUUAUUUCUGUAUUGUUAAAUUAAUCUCGAUUAGGCAUGUUAGCUGUUAUCUAAAUGUUGAUUUUGAUAUUAUGCGGCUUGGGCCAACCUACUGAUGAUGUUUACAUAAAUAUUAAUGCAGUAUUCUGUUCAAGAGUUAUUCUUUCUUUCACAUCUGUUUGUCUGGCCAUCAGGUUCAUUGUCACGUGCUAUAUUAUCAUAGGUCAUCGUCUUCUGCAUGAUUGACUAUAACCAGUUCUGGUCGCUUGCUCAGGUAAGACUAAACAAUCUGCAAGGAGCCUCUUUUUUCACAAAAAAAAAGUUAGCAGAAGUAUGGUUACUACGCAAUUGUGUAUAUUUUUCGAGUUUGAUUAUUAGUGUUAUUCUGAAUGGGCUGCUGAAGACGCGCGGUGCAUCCUUUACCUUUACAUGUUUCUGAUAAUGUGCCAUUUUAACUCCUUUUCUUUACCUACAAAUUCAUCUGAGAGCUGCUCAAGCUUGGAGCUGCUUCUUUCUUAAUCUGGUGAAAAGCUUCAUAGUCAAGGAGUAGUGGCCAGUACCAUCCAGCCAUUGUUCUGAUGAAGACCACAUACCAGCUCCACGUUUGGCAAAGAUUCCUUGCAAGAUGAUGUUUAGUAUCAUGCUAGAGGACCUGGGUCUUCAAGAUGUAAGAUACAACUGCCAUACAAUGCUAAAGUUUUCUCACCACAUGCUCUCUCUUGUAUGUUCAAUUUGGGGAUAUAGGUGGAGUUCGAGUGUAAAAGAUGGAGGCGAAUUGGCCGAGAUUUGUGCGCCGGGAUUUGGUGGCUGGAUGAGGAAGAGGUGAGUGGAGGGUCUGAGCGCACCCCACGCCUCUGCUCGUCUUCUUCACUUCUAUCCAUGACUUCCCCGGCGGUGGCGUGGCGCCUGGUCUGCACACCGAACGACUCCUCUCCCCUUGCCAACAACUGAGUUGCCGGAGAAACCAGAGCAAGAGGUGGAGCUAAGCAGGAGCUGCGGCCUGAUGGACCAUGGAUGAGCGAGGUUGCGACCUCCACGCCCGUCCAGUGCACGAACAUGUCCCAGGAGCUGGACCAACGUGUUCGGCAGCGAGCGUAGUCAGUCUUGAGACUAAGGUGAGUUUCCCAUCCAUCUUUCUUCACCUUUUGCUUCCUGUCUCAAAUAGAUUUCCUGAAGCAUAUUUUUGUGAGGUCGCGAGGUGUGAAUAGGUCCUCAAGGUUUCCUGAAGCAUAUAUUUGUGCAUGAUCUGUGGCAUCUAACAAAGGUAUUGGAGAGCUGAGGCGUCGGUUACUAUCCAGCCAUGAAUGUGAGGCGGGGAGUGGCGCUCCGCAUACUAGCGCGUGCAUCUGAUAGCAUGUACUAUGAGGCUAGGUAGACGAGCUCCUGCGUUUAUUUUGCUCUGCAGCGGAAUAAGAUGCAUAAUAUCUUAACAAGAUCAGGUCGCUUUUGCUGCGGAUGACAAUGUCGUAUUUGGGGCAUCAAGCAUGUUAAACCCAAACUGGUCAUCUGACCGAUCAAUGGAGUAAUGUUAGUUGUAAGACGAAUCACUAAGACAUAGAAGAUACUUUUGUACAGAGCGCCUUGGUUCCCUGACACCCAUAUUAUGUAAUUUUGUGCUACGGACUACUCCUGUUUAGUGGAAAUCCAUGCUAUCACACUUGAUCUAUGUACAAUGUAUCAGCUACCCGAUUGUACUUUAUUUUGUUUUGGGUUUUCAA